UACGAAGGGGGCGAGCGUUGUUCGGAUUUACUGGGCGUAAAGGGCGCGCAGGCGGCUCAUUUUGUCAGGCGUGAAAGCCCCGGGCUUAACCUGGGAACUGCGUUUGAUACGGAUGGGCUAGAGUUCGGGAGAGGAGAGUGGAAUUCCCAGUGUAGAGGUGAAAUUCGUAGAUAUUGGGAAGAACACCGGUGGCGAAGGCGGCUCUCUGGACCGAGACUGACGCUGAGGCGCGAAAGCCAGGGGAGCGAACGGG
rnacentral:rRNA from 1 species